UGUAUUAAAGAAUUAAAUGGAUGAAAUAUGAAGUUUUAUUAAAAGAAAAAGGGGUGAAAAGAACAAAGUUUUGUCCAUCUUUGUUCAUCAUAGCUGAAAGUUAGAGAAGAGAAAGGAGAGGAGAAAGCUCUUGAGUAUUCGGUCAUUAGGAGGAGGAAAAUUGAAGGAAAUCCCCAACCAUAGUGGGCUUGGAGCUGUGAGGGAAUUCGGAGGGGCCACACGUUCUGAAAGUUUGACUUUCUUCUGGUGAACUGGACAUCCUUUUAUUUAUAUUUGAAGUUUUGGGUUUUUAAAUGUAAUAAGGCCGCUUAAUUAUUUUUGAUGGUUUUAAUAUGUAUUACUAAGAUAGGUAUUACUUAUUUUAACUGUUGAAAUUGGAUAGCUUUAGGGCGCGUUUUCAAAAACAACAGUUGAUUUCAAAAUAACACGACAACAAGCAAAGCUUCCGCAAUGAAAGUAUUUUCCAAAAUUAAUCACUUUUCCUAAAAA